rnacentral:ncRNA from 1 species
GAGUAGGGGCGACGCGUUAAGUACUAGGGGAUGGGAGGUUGCCCCUAGGCGAAGGGCUUAUGUCCGCGGUGUCGUCUCGCAGCCGCU